UACGGAGGGGGCUAGCGUUGUUCGGAACUACUGGGCGUAAAGCGCACGUAGGCGGCGCAGCAAGUCAGGGGUGAAAUCCCGGGGCUCAACCCCGGAACUGCCUCUGAAACUGCAGUGCUAGAAUCUUGGAGAGGCGAGUGGAAUUCCGAGUGUAGAGGUGAAAUUCGUAGAUAUUCGGAAGAACACCAGUGGCGAAGGCGACUCGCUGGACAAGUAUUGACGCUGAGGUGCGAAAGCGUGGGGAGCAAACAGG
rnacentral:rRNA from 1 species